rnacentral:rRNA from 1 species
CAGUAGGGAUCUUCCACAAUGGACGAAAGUCUGAUGGAGCAACGCCGCGUGAGUGAAGAAGGUUUUCGGAUCGUAAAACUCUGUUGUUGGAGAAGAACGUAUUUGAUAGUAACUGAUCAGGUAGUGACGGUAUCCAACCAGAAAGCCACGGCUAACUACGUGCCAGCAGCCGCGGUAAUACGUAGGUGGCAAGCGUUGUCCGGAUUUAUUGGGCGUAAAGCGAGCGCAGGCGGUUUCUUAAGUCUGAUGUGAAAGCCUUCGGCUCAACCGAAGAAGUGCAUCGGAAACUGGGAAACUUGAGUGCAGAAGAGGACAGUGGAACUCCAUGUGUAGCGGUGAAAUGCGUAGAUAUAUGGAAGAACACCAGUGGCGAAGGCGGCUGUCUGGUCUGUAACUGACGCUGAGGCUCGAAAGCAUGGGUAGCAAACAGGAUUAGAUACCCUGGUAGUCCAUGCCGUAAACGAUGAGUGCUAGGUGUUGGAGGGUUUCCGCCCUUCAGUGCCGCAGCUAACGCAUUAAGCACUCCGCCUGGGGAGUACGACCGCAAGGUUGAAACUCAAAGGAAUUGACGGGGGCCGCACAAGAAA